CAGCAGCCGCGGUAAUACGAAGGGGGCUAGCGUUGUUCGGAAUUACUGGGCGUAAAGCGCACGUAGGCGGACAUUUAAGUCAGGGGUGAAAUCCCGGGGCUCAACCCCGGAACUGCCUUUGAUACUGGGUGUCUAGAGUAUGGAAGAGGUGAGUGGAAUUCCGAGUGUAGAGGUGAAAUUCGUAGAUAUUCGGAGGAACACCAGUGGCGAAGGCGGCUCACUGGUCCAUUACUGACGCUGAGGUGCGAAAGCGUUGGGAGCAAACAGGAUUAGAUACCCCCGUAGUCCCUGUCUCUUAUAC
rnacentral:rRNA from 1 species